GAGCUUCUUGGUUUCCUGUCGAGGGAUAUGAACAUGCUGAAAGCAAUUUCUCCUCAUUGUCAGUGUGUCCACUGACUGAUUUAUGAGACUAACAUUUUAGACUCAUUCUAAUUAAUUGAGCAUAACUUUACCUAGGCUUCUAUAUUCCCAAAUUUAUAUUUUAAAUAGCUUGCAGAUGCCAAGAUCAGGAUGUUCCUGGAUGAUGCAGAUUUUCAGGGGUUUUUUGUGUUUUUUUUGGAUGAUAUGCAACACAUAGGAGAAAAAUAUUCAGUGUUUUAAUUAGAAAUGUUGAAUUCAACAUGAAUAUUAAAAAGAACAUUCCACUGUGUGCUGAUUUUCUUUAAGUUUAGUUGGACCAGCAAGGUUAAAAACCGCACUAGAACGCCCCCUGGUGGAUAUUUUGUUAUGUUGUUAUGGUGACGCUAAAAAAGAAAAUCGAUCCAAGAUGGUGGAAAGCAAGACCGAACAGUUUAUGGCAAUAAGCUGAUUAUUAUCUUUAUACGUUGUGUUUCAGACAAGAUUUGUUCUUCACGAUGGCCAAAGUGAUGGCAGUGGUCAGAGGCCACUCUUCAAUAAAACAAGUAAAAAAGGAA